AAGUCGAACGAACUCUGGUAUUGAUUGGUGCUUGCAUCAUGAUUUACAUUUGAGUGAGUGGCGAACUGGUGAGUAACACGUGGGAAACCUGCCCAGAAGCGGGGGAUAACACCUGGAAACAGAUGCUAAUACCGCAUAACAACUUGGACCGCAUGGUCCGAGCUUGAAAGAUGGCUUCGGCUAUCACUUUUGGAUGGUCCCGCGGCGUAUUAGCUAGAUGGUGGGGUAACGGCUCACCAUGGCAAUGAUACGUAGCCGACCUGAGAGGGUAAUCGGCCACAUUGGGACUGAGACACGGCCCAAACUCCUACGGGAGGCAGCAGUAGGGAAUCUUCCACAAUGGACGAAAGUCUGAUGGAGCAACGCCGCGUGAGUGAAGAAGGGUUUCGGCUCGUAAAACUCUGUUGUUAAAGAAGAACAUAUCUGAGAGUAACUGUUCAGGUAUUGACGGUAUUUAACCAGAAAGCCACGGCUAACUACGUGCCAGCAGCCGCGGUAAUACGUAGGUGGCAAGCGUUGUCCGGAUUUAUUGGGCGUAAAGCGAGCGCAGGCGGUUUUUUAAGUCUGAUGUGAAAGCCUUCGGCUCAACCGAAGAAGUGCAUCGGAAACUGGGAAACUUGAGUGCAGAAGAGGACAGUGGAACUCCAUGUGUAGCGGUGAAAUGCGUAGAUAUAUGGAAGAACACCAGUGGCGAAGGCGGCUGUCUGGUCUGUAACUGACGCUGAGGCUCGAAAGUAUGGGUAGCAAACAGGAUUAGAUACCCUGGUAGUCCAUACCGUAAACGAUGAAUGCUAAGUGUUGGAGGGUUUCCGCCCUUCAGUGCUGCAGCUAACGCAUUAAGCAUUCCGCCUGGGGAGUACGGCCGCAAGGCUGAAACUCAAAGGAAUUGACGGGGGCCCGCACAAGCGGUGGAGCAUGUGGUUUAAUUCGAAGCUACGCGAAGAACCUUACCAGGUCUUGACAUACUAUGCAAAUCUAAGAGAUUAGACGUUCCCUUCGGGGACAUGGAUACAGGUGGUGCAUGGUUGUCGUCAGCUCGUGUCGUGAGAUGUUGGGUUAAGUCCCGCAACGAGCGCAACCCUUAUUAUCAGUUGCCAGCAUUAAGUUGGGCACUCUGGUGAGACUGCCGGUGACAAACCGGAGGAAGGUGGGGAUGACGUCAAAUCAUCAUGCCCCUUAUGACCUGGGCUACACACGUGCUACAAUGGAUGGUACAACGAGUUGCGAACUCGCGAGAGUAAGCUAAUCUCUUAAAGCCAUUCUCAGUUCGGAUUGUAGGCUGCAACUCGCCUACAUGAAGUCGGAAUCGCUAGUAAUCGCGGAUCAGCAUGCCGCGGUGAAUACGUUCCCGGGCCUUGUACACACCGCCCGUCACACCAUGAGAGUUUGUAACACCCAAAGUCGGUGGGGUAACCUUUUAGGAACCAGCC
rnacentral:rRNA from 1 species